AAAGCCGCUGGUCUUAAGCUAAAUAAUUGAUUUCUAAAUAAAGCUCUAUAGUUUUCCUAAAUUAAAUAAAAGAGAGAUUUAUUGAAAACUCGCUGUGAGGAGAAAUCAGCAACGUUGUGGUGCAUACAUAUGCGUAGAAUGAAACCAGAUAAAGGACUACCGUAUCCGUCUCCAUAUGUAUUCCCGGCCAAACAGAUCUUGGAAAGACCAGGAUUUUCUGUAGACAUCUGCAGCCUCUUAUGCACCAUCAGAAACAACAGCAGAUUGACCAACAUAAAUAAUAAUAUACAUAUAUUCAAAUAAAAUUAAUACAAUAAACAUUUCCCGAGCAUAAA